GAUGAAGACGUAGCGAAACGCGAUAUGUAAUGUGAAUUGCAGAAUUCAGUGAAUCAUCGAAUCUUUGAACGCACAUGGCGCCUUCCAGUAUCCUGGGAGGCAUGCCUGUCCGAGCGUCGUUUCAACCCUCGAGCCCCCGUGGCCCGGCGUUGGGGAUCUGCCACGGCAGGCCCCUAAAACCAGUGGCGGACCCGAAGGCCCUCUCCUUUGCGCAGUAGCAUCAGCCUCGCAUUGGGAUCCCUCGGCGUCCUGCCUCUAAACCCCCCACAAGUCCGCUCCGGCGGCACCAAGGUUGACCUCGGAUCAGGUAGGAAUACCCGCUGAACUUAAGCAUAUCAAUAAGCGGAGGA
rnacentral:misc_RNA from 1 species